UGUAUUUAAGGUGGGACUCAGAUGCUUCCAGUUCACUUUGCAGCAAAGCAGCAACAUAUGGAUCUGUAACCAACAUGGGAUCAUUUUUUUGUAAAGUAAGAGGAAGUGAUCGGAAUAUGUAUCGACAAGAAACUAAAAGCCCUGCUGUGAGUGGAGUAGAUCUGCCUCCUGACGUGGAGUGUCAUGCUGUGGGUGGAGUAGAUCUGCCUCCUGACGUGGAGUGCCAGGCCAUCGGUGGAGUCGACCUGCCUCCAUUUGAUAUCCAACAUUUGGACACUGAGCACAGUGCUCUCGGUGGAAUAGAUGAAUAUCCCAAAUUCACUCAGAAAGUGGGAUAGAUCCACCUCCCAUAUUAGAUCUGCCAGGUCUGAAAUGACAGAAAAGAAGAACAACAAGAAAGUUAUCGUUCUGACUCACUGGGCUUCAGAGGAAAUAAACUCUGGUGAUGCCUUUCUAAAAAAAAUACAAAUGUUGUAGUCUGCAAUAAUAGAUCCUUUGAUCAGUUUUAUUUUACUAAUUGUUAAUUGUUAAUGUAUGUGAACUAUUGAAAUCUCAUAUUUUCUAAAUAGAUCUAUAUUUCCUUUUUGAAACAUGUUUUUAUGUUUAAUCUCAGCAUUACACAAUGUAUAGAUUUUUAAAAAAUAUUAAAAGAUUUUCACACAAGUAUGUAGUUGUCUGAAUUUUCAUCAUGAAUUUUAUAUUUAUAUUUUAUAUUAUAUUUAAUUUUAUACAUAAAUUUCCAAUAUAAAUAUAUUGGAAAAUAAAAACAUAAGUGAGGGAGAUUAUUCUGUAGAUGUUUUUAAAGCCAGUUGUUCAAUACACCUAUUGCUUUUUUUGUUAUUUUAUGUUUUUAAUUUGAAUUGUUUAAUUUUAGCUUUUGUACCCUUAUAUUUGUUCGGUUCUUUGUUUGAAAUUGCUUCAUAAAUAAAGUUAUUAAUAAAA